rnacentral:misc_RNA from 1 species
CGCAUCUUGCGCCCUUUGGUAUUCCGAAGGGCAUGUCUGUUUGAGUGUCGUGAAACUCUCAACCCCCUUGUUUUGUAAUGAAACAAGUGCUUGGGUUGGAUGUGGUUGCUGCAGGUCCCGAAAGGGGUCGGCUCAGCUGAAAUACAUUAGCGUACCCUGCUUUUAAAUCGCAGCGGCUUGACUCGGCGUAAUAAUCAUAUUCGCUGGGGACGUUGCAUUAGUAUUUAAACCGUGGGCGCUCACAAUGCGUCUCAACCUUUUGGUUAAGACAACCUUUCAAUUUAAGACCUCAGAUCAGUCAGGGCUACCCGCUGAACUUAA